UACGAAGGGGGCUAGCGUUGCCGUCGAAUCACUGGGCGUAAAGCGCACGUAGGCGGCUUUCUAAGUCAGGGGUGAAAUCCUGGAGCUCAACUCCAGAACUGCCUUUGAUACUGGGAGCUCGAGUCCGGAAGAGGUAAGUGGAACUCCGAGUGUAGAGGUGAAAUUCGUAGAUAUUCGGAAGAACACCAGUGGCGAAGGCGGCUUACUGGUCCGGUACUGACGCUGAGGUGCGAAAGCGUGGGGAGCAAACAGG
rnacentral:rRNA from 1 species